CACCCAACCCAAACCUCCUUUAGAUCCCCUUUUCUGCUUCAACGUACAAAACAACUUCCAAACGAUCCAACAAAAUUCAUCGAGCAACAACAACAAAACCCGACCCUAUUCGAUAAUCGCGAACAACGACAACUCCGAACAACAUCGAAAAUCAACCAACCAAGCCAUCAACAGCUUUGCCAAAACCCAAGCCUCUGACCCAACUCUUCUCACACGCAUCUUACACGAUGGCAUGAUGAGGAGGGUUUGAAACUCUUAUAGAAUACGCCUAGAUGUCCUUCCAAAGGUUUGAUUAUGUGAAUUUUGGAUGAAGUAGUAUGAAUUCGUAAACAUUUGGGAAAAUACUAUUGGUUUUCGGAGAUUAUUCCUUUUCCCCAAUCUCCAUUGUCCAACACAUUUGGAAUUUUCUCAACAACAAUCCAAAUUUGUACAAGUUGUUGUUUGAAAACCCUAUCCUAAGCUUGAAUUCAAAUUUUUUCCCUACUGAAAAUCCCAAAAAUACCCCCAAUUUCUCCUAAUCCCACAUCAGUGGAGCUUAAGAGGGGACCCUGAUUUUGUUUCUAUAAAAAGAGCUCACUAUUGAGCCAAGAGAGAGUCGGGAAAAAUUUUGGGAAAGCUGGAAGAGAUAAAGAAUUUGACUCAGAGGACAAGAAAUUUCUUUAGCAGAGCUAUUAGAAAAAGAGAAAGAAAAAUAGUUUUCGAGAGGAAAAGUGAAUUUUUCUUUAGUAAAAUUUUUUUGAGAAAAGGAGUCGACGAGUCAAAUUCUUGCGGUGACUACGAUAAUUUUUGGUGGUGGUCAAGAUCCCGGCAUCAGUUUGUAAUCCCGUUUUGCUGCUCUGAAAGAGGACCCGGAAGAAAGUCUAAAAUGAGUUCCAAGGCAUAAGGUGACAAGGGGUCGAAAGGAGAAGAAUGGGUUAAAAUCCCAUCUUUGAAGCUGCUAAGGGACUUGAAAGUCUCAUUUGUUAUUUUUUUUAUUCUUGUCUUUAUUUAUUUUAUUUAUUUAUUCAUUCAUUUGGUUCUCGAAGCCAAAGUUGUAUUUAAUACAGAUAAAGCAAAACUCGGGCCAAAGGUUCGAAGAAUAGUUUAGGACAUGUUAUAGGUCAAAACCUAAUAUCUAGAUUAGGACAGGUAAAAUUGGGCCGGAAGCCCAAUUAGACUAGGACAGGGUGAUGGAUUUGGUUUAAGAGCCCAAAUUAUUUAUUUCUUCCCCUCUUUCCCUUUUUCUA